rnacentral:rRNA from 1 species
GACGAACGCUGGCGGCGUGCUUAACACAUGCAAGUCGAACGAUGAUGCUGGAGCUUGCUCCAGUUGAUUAGUGGCGAACGGGUGAGUAACACGUGAGCAAUCUGCCCUUGACUCUGGGAUAACUGCGGGAAACUGUCGCUAAUACCGGAUACUUUCACCGGGGGGCAUCCUCUGGUGAUGAAAGAAUUUCGGUCAAGGAUGAGCGCGCGGCCUAUCAGCUUGUUUGUGAGGUAACGGCUCACCAAGGCGGCGACGGGUAACCGGCUUGAGAGGGUGACCGGUCACACUGGGACUGAGACACGGCCCAGACUCCUACGGGAGGCAGCAGUGGGGAAUAUUGCACAAUGGGCGCAAGCCUGAUGCAGCAACGCCGCGUGAGGGAUGAAGGCCUUCGGGUUGUAAACCUCUUUUAGCAGGGAAGAAGCGAAAGUGACGGUACCUGCAGAAAAAGCACCGGCUAACUACGUGCCAGCAGCCGCAGUAA